CAGCAGGCGCGAAAACUUUACAAUGCGGGAAACCGUGAUAAGGGGACACCGAGUGCCAGCAUCAUAUGCUGGCUGUCCAGGUGUGUAAAAUGCACCUGUCAGCAAGGGCCGGGCAAGACCGGUGCCAGCCGCCGCGGUAACACCGGCGGCCCGAGUGGUGAUCGUGAUUAUUGGGUCUAAAGGGUCCGUAGCCGGUUUGGUCAGUCCUCCGGGAAAUCUGACGGCUCAACCGUUAGGCUUUCGGGGGAUACUGCCAGGCUUGGAACCGGGAGAGGUAAGAGGUACUACAGGGGUAGGAGUGAAAUCUUGUAAUCCCUGUGGGACCACCUGUGGCGAAGGCGUCUUACCAGAACGGGUUCGACGGUGAGGGACGAAAGCUGGGGGCACGAACCGGAUUAGAUACCCGGGUAGUCCCAGCCGUAAACGAUGCUCGCUAGGUGUCAGGCAUGGCGCGACCGUGUCUGGUGCCGCAGGGAAGCCGUGAAGCGAGCCACCUGGGAAGUACGGCCGCAAGGCUGAAACUUAAAGGAAUUGGCGGGGGAGCACAAGGGCGAAUNGCGG
rnacentral:rRNA from 1 species